GAUGGAAGGACUGGUGGGCAAGAUAUUUGAUGUUGCAUUCCUUCCCGCAAUGAACAGCAUCUUAGGCGUAGGCAUCCCUCUGCCCAAGCUGCUGGAUGCUGACUUCAAUAAUGCUGACAUCGACGUUAUUGAAGAUUUGCUUGUCUUGUCUGCGUGAGCUAAGGAGGAGAGGUGCAAAGAGAAGUAUGAAGACCGAGUAAGACAUCACCUGCCAAACCAUAGAUUCAAUCUUCACAUUACCAGC